rnacentral:lncRNA from 1 species
GGAGAAAACAUUGAUUUGUGAGAAGCAAGUUUGCAUGCUGAGUUAUGCUGCUGGCUCCACACCCUGCUGAGUAAUACACUGCCACUGGCUCACCCAAGAAAGGCAGUGGCACGAGGGAACACAAAAAAACAUGCCAUAAUCCCUUUUUCUGCAUUAUGUGAUCUAAAAAGUCUCUUUCAACUCAAAUUUCUUUGAAUGAACACAACCAAAUCUUGCUCUUCAUCCUGAGUGCAUGCCUCUCCCACAUGGAACACUGGAUAGCCGUCUCAUGGGAUCCCACCAGAUUGCUCUCUCUUUACUGAGCUCUACAUCUCUUAUCUACCUCAAGUAAAUGUAGACUGGUCAACUUUCUGAGGCCUUUUUUGAGUGAGAUAAGAAGAGAGAGAAGGGCAGAAAGUUUAUCCCUCCAGCUUUGCCCUGAAUUCCCUCCAGGCAGGAUGUCUGUCCCCUCUGCACAUUGGAACAAUUUGAGUUGAAAAGGCUGAAGUAUCCCUUGUUGUGCAGCUAGUGUCAAGGCUGACAUAACAUACAGUAUAGGGAUUAUCUUGAUGUUUCCUAGUGACUAAUAUGCCUUUUUGAUGUAAAACAGAUUAGUCUGAUUUCAUUUCCCACCUUCAUUACAACGGCUGUCCAACCCGCACCACAGCACCCCUUCCUGCAUGGCGUCUGAAAUCCUUGCUGAAGUAAUUACAUACAUCAGUGACUGGAUCAAAUUUGCUAUUCCUAUGAUUCACCUGUAACAAUUAUCUUUGCCAGCACUUUUUUUUUUUAGUGGAUAGACCAUUUGAAGCAUUACCUAGGCCAUGCAGAUAAAGAAUACCUGUCAUCUUUAAGUUACUAUCAAAAGGAUAGUGUUGAUAAUAUAAAGAUUAUAGAUAUAUCUUUGUGGAUUAGGGCUUAAUAGGAAAAAGCUCACAGAAUUCCUCAUUUGUUCCAUCCCCAGUCAUGCAAGGCACUAAGCAAAACCGUAUCUUGCGGAAAUUGCUGCACACAGGAAAAACCGCAGACAAUUUAGAAAGCUUUGGCACACAGCUCAGUUCAGUGUCUGAAAGGGAAUGGGAUAGGCUUAGUGGGGCUGAAGAGGAAGCAGAAGAGCUAUGGCAAGCUCAUGGUCUAAAAAGAGACAGGGAAUUAACAUGUUUUAGAGCACAUCUACCAGUGCUUCCCAAGACAAUUGGCUACAGCUUUAAUAGUCAAAUGUGAUUGUCACUGAGACGUCCAGUGCUUUGAAGCAAGUGCUUACCUUCGAUCAAAAAUAUGUAUAUACUCAUGAUUUUUGUGUUACACUUUGUGUGUCUGAAUCUAGAAGAAAGGUAGAGCCGGUGUCCAGGGCAG